CGGGGAGUAGCUCAGCCUGGCUAGAGCGCGAGUUUUGGGAACUCGAUGUCGCAGGUUCAAAUCCUGUCUCCCCGA
rnacentral:tRNA from 1 species